UAGGGAAUCUUCCGCAAUGGGCGAAAGCCUGACGGAGCAACGCCGCGUGAGUGAUGAAGGUCUUCGGAUCGUAUAACUCUGUUAUUAGGGAAGAACAAAUGUGUAAGUAACUAUGCACGUCUUGACGGUACCUAAUCAGAAAGCCACGGCUAACUACGUGCCAGCAGCCGCGGUAAUACGUAGGUGGCAAGCGUUAUCCGGAAUUAUUGGGCGUAAAGCGCGCGUAGGCGGUUUUUUAAGUCUGAUGGGAAAGCCCACGGCUCAACCGUGGAGGGUCAUUGGAAACUGGAAAACUUGAGUGCAGAAGAGGAAAGUGGAAUUCCAUGUGUAGCGGUAAAAUGCGCAGAGAUGUGGUGGAACACCAGUGGCGGAGGCGACUUUCUGGUCUGAAACUGACGCUGAUGUGCGAAAGCGGGGGGAUCAAACAGG
rnacentral:rRNA from 1 species